UCUUGGUCAUUAGAGGAAGUAAAAGUCGUAACAAGGUCUCCGUUGGUGAACCAGCGGAGGGAUCAUUAUAGAGUUUUCUAAACUCCCAACCCAUGUGAACUUACCUUUUGUUGCCUCGGCAGAAGUUAUAGGUCUUCUUAUAGCUGCUGCCGGUGGACCAUUAAACUCUUGUUAUUUUAUGUAAUCUGAGCGUCUUAUUUUAAUAAGUCAAAACUUUCAACAACGGAUCUCUUGGUUCUGGCAUCGAUGAAGAACGCAGCGAAAUGCGAUAAGUAAUGUGAAUUGCAGAAUUCAGUGAAUCAUCGAAUCUUUGAACGCACAUUGCGCCCAUUAGUAUUCUAGUGGGCAUGCCUGUUCGAGCGUCAUUUCAACCCUUAAGCCUAGCUUAGUGUUGGGAAUCUACUUCUCUUAGGAGUUGUAGUUCCUGAAAUACAACGGCGGAUUUGUAGUAUCCUCUGAGCGUAGUAAUUUUUUUCUCGCUUUUGUUAGGUGCUAUAACUCCCAGCCGCUAAACCCCCAAUUUUUUGUGGUUGACCUCGGAUCAGGUAGGAAUACCCGCUGAACUUAAGCAUAUCAAUAAGCGGAGGAAA
rnacentral:rRNA from 1 species